AUUGAACGCUGGCGGCAGGCCUAACACAUGCAAGUCGAGCGGAUGAAGGGAGCUUGCUCCUGGAUUCAGCGGCGGGCGGGUGAGUAAUGCCUAGGAAUCUGCCUGGUAGUGGGGGAUAACGUCCGGAAACGGGCGCUAAUACCGCAUACGUCCUGAGGUAGAAAGUGGGUGAUCUUCGGACCUCACGCUAUCAGAUGAGCCUAGGUCGGAUUAGCUAGUUGGUGGGGUAAAGGCCUACCAAGGCGACGAUCCGUAACUGGUCUGAGAGGAUGAUCAGUCACACUGGAACUGAGACACGGUCCAGACUCCUACGGGAGGCAGCAGUGGGGAAUAUUGGACAAUGGGCGAAAGCCUGAUCCAGCCAUGCCGCGUGUGUGAAGAAGGUCUUCGGAUUGUAAAGCACUUUAAGUUGGGAGGAAGGGCAGUAAGUUAAUACCUUGCUGUUUUGACGUUACCAACAGAAUAAGCACCGGCUAACUUCGUG
rnacentral:rRNA from 1 species